UUAGAAAGUCCAGAAACAAUUCCAAAGUUAUUUAAAAAAACUCAAACAAAUGCCAAGUGAAAGAGGAUAGAAUUAAAAUUACAAAGAAAGAUCCGUACGAAGUUUUUAGAGUAGGGUAGUCAAACUUCCAAAAGGACGUAAGUAUAAAAUGGAGUUCAAAUAGAUUCGAGACUAGGACUUAAAAAAUCUUAGAACUGUAUAUUCUUUAGGAA
rfam:Leptospira interrogans serovar Lai str. 56601 chromosome I, complete sequence.